rnacentral:rRNA from 1 species
GAUGAACGCUGGCGGCGUGCCUAAUACAUGCAAGUCGAGCGAACGGACGAGAAGCUUGCUUCUCUGAUGUUAGCGGCGGACGGGUGAGUAACACGUGGAUAACCUACCUAUAAGACUGGGAUAACUUCGGGAAACCGGAGCUAAUACCGGAUGAUAUUUUGAACCGCAUGGUUCAAAAGUGAAAGACGGCCUUGCUGUCACUUAUAGAUGGAUCCGCGCUGCAUUAGCUAGUUGGUAAGGUAACGGCUUACCAAGGCAACGAUGCAUAGCCGACCUGAGAGGGUGAUCGGCCACACUGGAACUGAGACACGGUCCAGACUCCUACGGGAGGCAGCAGUAGGGAAUCUUCCGCAAUGGGCGAAAGCCUGACGGAGCAACGCCGCGUGAGUGAUGAAGGUCUUCGGAUCGUAAAACUCUGUUAUUAGGGAAGAACAUAUGUGUAAGUAACUGUGCACAUCUUGACGGUACCUAAUCAGAAAGCCACGGCUAACUACGU